AUGGAGACUGCCAUAUCUGCAGUUGCGAGUGAACUCAUGAACCAGUUCAUCUCCUUACUGAUGAACAAGUACUACUCUUUGAGCCAUUCCCAAUCGGAGGAGAAGGUGAUGCAGAGGUUGCAUCACCUCCUGAUGAGAGCUGGCACCAUCCUUGAGGAGUCAGACACGCGAUACAUAACCAACUCCGGGAUGAUGAUGCAGCUCAAGACACUCUCAGAGGCCAUGUACCGAGGACACCGUGUGCUGGACUGCUUGAGGUACCGUGCCCUCCAAGAUAGUGCAGGCUUCGACAAGGUUAGCAUCAAUGACUCGUCUAGCAGCAGCUUGCAUUUAGCCAUUCCUUUCAAGCGUUCUCGAACAACAUCUGAGAAGGAUGACAAGGAAAUGCGCCCCGAGUCCAUGGUGCCUUGGAAAGCUUAG
rnacentral:rRNA from 1 species